AGCUUUGCGCAGUGGAGUAUCGUAGCCAAUGAGGUUUAUCCGAGGCGCGAUUAUUGCUAAUUGAAAAAAUAUUCACAGAAAAUGUACCUAUUUAAUAGUCAGGGUGUAAGGAUUAUCAGGAGUAAAUCUGGUAUCUUUCUAUCUGG